AUGAAGCAAAUUAGGCACUACAUAAUAACAAACUGCGAGGAAUCCAACUCAUGGACAGAUGAGCAUCUGGAUGAGCUUAUAAGGGCUGGUGCUCAUGGUGUUCAGAAACGGCACAGAGACGAGUUUGUAGAUUGGUUCGAGAGGCGUAUCCAGCCACUUCACAAAGAAGGGAAAGUCAAUGGUCUUUUGUAUGCCCUAUCUAGAGGACCUGACCCUCGAGCUCGUGUUUAUAACCGCACCUUUAUCAAUGGGUUUUUCUUUAGAAAUGAUAGUGUAGAAAGAGAUUUGAAUACCCAAAGUGGUGUUGUUGUUAGGGGUGAUGCUCGAUCUGGCAACCUUGAUUGGUUUGGUGUGAUCAAGAAAAUUAUUUGUGUAGAUUUUCCCUCGGAAAAGGAGGUAGUGCUAUUUCAAUGUGACUGGUUUGACGUGCCCUCUGCCAAUAAAAAUCAAAGCACGGGCUACAAGAAGGAUGAUUAUGGCUAUAUCGAUGUAGAUACUACCUGA
rnacentral:rRNA from 1 species